AACGAACGCUGGCGGCAUGCCUAACACAUGCAAGUCGAACGAGACCUUCGGGUCUAGUGGCGCACGGGUGCGUAACGCGUGGGAACCUGCCCUUAGGUUCGGAAUAACUCCCCGAAAGGGGUGCUAAUACCGGAUAAUGUCUUCGGACCAAAGAUUUAUCGCCUUUGGAUGGGCCCGCGUUGGAUUAGCUAGUUGGUAGGGUAAAAGCCUACCAAGGCGACGAUCCAUAGCUGGUCUGAGAGGAUGAUCAGCCACACUGGGACUGAGACACGGCCCAGACUCCUACGGGAGGCAGCAGUGGGGAAUAUGGGACGAUGGGCGAAAGCCUGAUCCAGCAAUGCCGCGUGAGUGAUGAAGGCCGUAGGGGUGUAAAGCUCUUUUACCCGGGAUGCUAAUGACAGUACCUGGAGAAUAAGCUCCGGCUAACUCCGU
rnacentral:rRNA from 1 species